UACUUUUAGCAAAAAGGAAAUUCACAAUUCUGGACAGGUUAUGGUUUUAAUCAAAACUAGCAAUUUUCCUAAUCAGUUCAUUCGAUAUUCAAACAAUUAAUCACACUAUGGAAACUUGUUUAUCAAUCGAUUUAUGCAAAAAGGAAAAUUAGGGUUUUAAGCAAUUUAACAAUUUUAAGAUCAAAUUCUAUUCUAAACAGUUCUAUUUACUCAAACA
rnacentral:lncRNA from 1 species